GGAUGUUGUUUUUGUGGUUUAUAUUUUUUGAAUCCCUUGCACAGACCCUUUCCGUCUUCCUGAAGAUACAACGGAGGCCCACCAGGAGGUUUUUGUCCCACUUAAACCCAGCAAAGAAGGAUGCAGACCUGAUUGUGCGAGCUCCAUUUAAAGAUGAGGUUCAUGAUGAUUGACUUCUGCCUCUUUGCAAUAAACACACAUUUCUUUACUUUAUUACACUCAUUGACAAUAACAGCAGCUGAUUUACGAACAGGCACAUAUUCUUGGGGUCAAAAAGGAGCCAAAACAAAGAGAUUGGAAAUAUAUGAAAACUUACAAAAGGGUUAUAUUGUAUGGAAGCGUGUUGCAUUGAGUAAUUUUUUUCUGUUCUGUUCUUCCGACCAAUUUUUGGUUUGUGUAUUUUUCAGAUUAAUUUUUCUGGUUUUCAGACUAGUUGUUUUCCCUGUUCUUUGGGAUCAUGAUCAUUUAAAAACAGAUGCUUUCAUCCCCCUCUGCUCGAUUUAUUGGAAGCAAACAUGGCCCACUUGUUUAGUUAAAUCAAGUUUUACUUUCUUUUGGGUUUGAGACGCUGGGAUAUACUCUGUUCUUUAAGUCAGAUAGAUGGAAUCGUCAUAAGUUUGUCUACUUUGCACAGGCUCCUCAGGAUUUGCAUACCUUAUGCUUAUCUUAUCACAUGCUUCACUCUUAUUGACCCUGAAGUUGAAGUUAUCUUGGAGCUGGAGAAUCCGUUGAUUUGGAGCAGCCGAGGUGGUUAACGUUAUUUGAUUUUAUGAGAUUCUCGCAGGAUUUUGAAGUAUCUCGCUUGGAUAAAAUAGUCCGAAAAACAAAAAGACGAAAAAAAAACAGUCCAAAAACAGAAUAAAAAUGUGUCCAAAAAAUUAGAAAAAGGAGAAAAAAUAUUUGUACAAAAAACAGCAGAAAAAAAUAUAGUCAGAAAAACAGAAGAAAAAAGGCUUUUUUUUUUUUUUUCUUUGUAAAGGAAUGCAAUACACUUCUGUAAAAUUAAAGGCUCAUUGAUUUCUAUCUUUGAUGGGGUUGUAAAACAUUACAUUCUGACAAAAUAGUUUUCUUUUUCCUCUAUCUUAGACAUGUAAUCUUUUUCACGUACCUUGACAAGUUUCCACAGAAACUUCAGCCUUCCUCAGAAGUGUCACUUUGUGGUAGGUGUGACACAUCAUGCCAGCUGGUAUUACAGAGGUGUGACCCUCCUGUCAAUUUUUUAUUUUUUUUUGACAGGACAGUCACACCUCCGGGGGCGGCACAGUGGUGUAGUGGUUAGCACUGUCGCCUCACAGCAAAAAUGUCCUGAUUCGAAUCCGGGUCAGGGCAUCUCUGUGUGGAGUUUGCAUGUCCUUCCUGUGUCUGCGUGGCUUUCCUCCAGGUACUCCGGUUUCCUCACACACCCAAAAAACAUGCAUAAGUGGGGUUAGGUUAAUUGGCCACUUUCAGAUUGGCCAUAGCGAGUGUGGAUGGUUGUUCAUCUCUAUAUGUCAGCCCUGCGAUGAACUGGCGACUUGUCCAGGGUGUCCCCUACCUUCACCCGAAAAUGCUGGGAUAGGCUCCAGAAUUCAUGGAUUGAUGGUCAUGCCUCCCGCUGCCUGUUUACCUCUGCGGGGGUCGCUAUGGGUGUGUGAGAGCAUUUCUAAGAAACUGAAGACAUAAUCAGCAUAAUUCAACAUUACAUUCUGACUAUCAUUUGACGUCAAGAUCAGCCUUCUCCUUUGUGAACAGUUCAGUCAGGUGAUCUUCCAGGUUAGAGAGGUGAGUGUAUGUCUAAAAGCAGCUCUACAGUUUCUCUAAAUAACCUUUUUUUUCCUACUGCUGUGUUCUCUGCUCUGUGCUGUAGUGGGUUUGUGCUCAGUGUGUUGUUUUAUCCUGACUGCGUGUGUGCUCGACGUGAAAACAAUGUUUGAUUCUGAGGACAGAUGGAGCUGCUUUCAUGUGGAGAGUGUCAAUUUUCCUGCAAAAUAAGAGUUUUUUUUUUUUCUUUUUUAAAUGUAGUUUGAAAACUGGAUUCUGUGUUCAGGGUUAAGAGAAAACAUUGGAGGGUUUGCAAUAAUGAAAAAAAAACUUUUAUCCAUUAUGUCAUUUUUUUAACCUUAUUUUCAAGGUUGAAACAUUUCCAUGCACCCAUCCUCCACUGCUUAUCUGGAGUCGGGCCAUCCUGCGCUUCCGGGGGGAAUCUGUGAAGGCGUUCCUAGCCAGCUUGUCCUAGGUCUUCCCCGUGGUCUCUUACCGUUGGGAUGUGCCCUGAAGACCUCACCUGGUUAGAUGUCUAAGCCACCUCAUCUCACCCCUCUCAACACGGAGGAGAAAUUCUACUCUGAGCCCCUCCUAGAUGACCGAGCUUCUCACCCUAUCUCUGAGGGAGAGCCCAGCCACCCUGUCGAGGAAACUCAUUUCAGCCACUUGUACCCAGGGUCUUGCUCAUUCAAUCAGAAAAGAACAAGAAAGGUCACUACCCACAGCAGUGCCUCUGCAUUGUCCGGAAGUUGUUCUCCAUGGUCUCAUUGAACUCCUCCCAUGUCUGGGUCUUAUCCACAGCAACCGCCAAAGCCACAUUCUACUUGGCCUGCUGAUACCUAUCAGUUGCCUCCAGAGUCCCACAGGCCAAAAAGACCUGAUAAGACUCUGUCUUCAGCUUGACGGCAUCCCUCACCACUGUUGUCCACCAAUGGGUUCAGGUAUUACCACCACAACAGGCGCAGACCACAUUAUGGCAACAGCUCUGAUCAGCCGACUCAACGAUUGAGGUAUGGAACUCACAUAACCACUGAAGGGGGUCCCAUGUUGCUUCUUUGGGCCCCAUGGGCAGCAUGCCUCACCACUGUUGUCCACCAAUUGGUUCAGGUAUUACCACCCCAACAGGCCCGACCACCAGGUGCUCGACAUCCAGCCCCCCAUCCUGAUACGUGAGUCCGGGUGAUCCUUAUUCAUCAUAGGGAUUUUGUGAGCUACAUUUUGUCUGGUCCCUACCCCAGGACCUGUUCGCCUCCUUGGGUGACCCGACCAGAGGCAUAAAGCCCCCUAACAACUGGUGGUAUCAUGGGUUGGUUGAAACAUUUUGCAUGUUUAUUUACUCUCAUUUCAAACUCUUUUACAGUGUUUCUCACUG
rnacentral:lncRNA from 1 species